UCUUAUGGAUGAGCAAAGAAAGUAAUUUCUGAAGAGGGAAUCUACUCUUGGUGAAGAUUCUAUGAA
rnacentral:pre_miRNA from 1 species